CCCUGGUGGCUCAAGUUAAAGCGUCUGCCUCCAAUGCAGGAGACCCAGGUUCAAUCCCUGGGUCAGGGA
rnacentral:tRNA from 1 species